rnacentral:lncRNA from 1 species
CCCACCACAUAUGAUAGAAAGUACCUUCUUUUUCUUUACAUUUCCAACACUUAUUGCAUGUUUUAUACAUUUUGGCCAGUUUAACUGGCGUUAUAUACCAUCUGUAAAACAUCACACUUAAACUUAUAAGUAUUGUUUAGGCACCUACUUAGGAGAAACAUCAGCCAUGUCAAAGGUGCCGCUGACCCCGCUGCCUCAUAGCAGCUCAAUACAAUACGUAACAUAAAAUUUUGAUGUAAGAGUUAAUUUCGCGUGCACGGCGCCGCUGUGAAUGACAAGCAACGUCAUUGAGUCUGACAAGCGCCACCGUUGUGAAUGACAAGCGCCACUGCUGGUGCAGUGCGUCUUUGGUAAAUGAACGCACAAAGUCGAAAGUCCUUUAGUGAAACAGUAGGUAUACAUUUUGGUAAUAGCUAGGUAUAUGUGUACAGUGGUACCUCGGGAUGCGAACACAAUCUGUUCCGGAGCCCCAUUCGCAUACUGAAUAGAACGUAAGAUGCGACUGCGCAUGCGCAGGUCACGUUUUGCCGCUUCCGCGCAUGCGUGUGACGUCAUUUUGAGCAUCUGCGCAUGCGCAAGCAGCAAAACCCGAAAGUAAUGUGCUCUGUUACUUCUGGGUUGCCGUGGAGCGCAACCCGAAAGCGCUCAACCUGAAGCAUAUUCAACCCGAGGUAUGACUGUAUUUUGUUUUUCUAGCUUGAUCAAAAUUAUUUAUAAUUUCACAACAGGUAGAUAGUUAAGAGCUUAGGCAGCUUCAGCGGCAGGUGCCUGGCUCCCCCCAGAAUUCGGCGCCUGGGUGCCCCACACCCCUUGCACCCUCGGGUGAAGAUGGCCCUUUGGACAAGAUUAAAUGUUCAUGUAACUCCCCCCAAAAAAACCCACAAUGGGUAGGAAGAAGCUAUUUUGUUUCUUGGGGCCAUUUCUGACUUCAUCAAUUGUUGAGGCAAAUUGGAUUAUCCAGGAGACAGAGGAGGAGAGGAUGAGGCAAGGGGAAGGCGGAGUGAUGGAAAACAGCCUCUCAUCUCGGCCUUGGGAAAGGUGGCCUCCAUGGACUUCUUCAUUAGCUGCUAAGGAGAGCGGUCUGCUGGCCCGAGAGCCUCUUCCGAGGAUGCCAGGAUCGGUUUGCAUGAAGAACAACAGACGGCAGCGGUGGGGAAGAGUGGCUAUUAAAGAGCCGCAAAAUUUAAUUGAGAGCCUCGCUCAGGGCCUUUUAAUUUCCCAAGCUCCUGGUUGGACUUCAGCGGCUGGGCUUGAUUUCGCUGUUCACCAAAGUUGUCUCUGAAAGCUCUGGCUCUAAACACAUUCCUCCUGAGUAAGCCUCACUGAGCACCAUGGGACUUGCUUCCCAGUAAAUGUGCACAUUAAGUAUGAGCUGCACUUCUGUGCUAAAAAAAAAAAAGGGAAAUCAAGGUAAAUCUGAAUAUCACAAGUCAAACAGCACUGAGGCUCAACUCUUGCAGCAAGACCACCCUGAUUAAAGAGUAAAGGAGACACACGGCAGCUCAGUGGUAGAACACAUGGAGAAGGUCCUGGGUUCUAAUUUUGGCAUCUCCAGUUAAAUAGGAUCAAGUAGCAUUGGAAAAGUCAGCUGUGAGAGACCAUGGAGAGCUACUGCCAAUUAAAGCAGACGGUACUGUAGUACUUGGUCAAAUAGGCUGAACUGGUUAUAAGGCAAUUUCUUACUUCAAAGGUCCCCGGGUACUGAAACAGAAACCAUUUAGGGGUGAGAUAUUUGGGGAGUAACCACACUAAUGGCAUGUUUGGAGGGGAGUGAUAGACCUGUGACAGAUCAUGAGGUAACUAUGUCCCUUUUUGAUCAGAUGAGUACAAGAGCCAGGACUACUUUUUGAGAAGCCAUUGGAGGACAUUGGUAAAAAAAGAAAAACCUUUUAACCAGCUUCAUGUUGUACAGACUCCAUUCCUUUCUCUGUCUUAUUAUUUUUUUAAAAAUUAAAUUUUCCAACAAAAGUAGCAAAGAAAACCAGAAAAAUAAAUAAAUAAAUACACAAUAACAAAUACAACAUAGAAAAAAAUACACAAAAACAAUAUCAAAUCCAUAAAAUGGGAUUCUUUGAAUCCCGUGACUUCCCUCCCCACCCCAUUCCUUAAGUUUUCUUUUCAACUGCAUAUUAUUUCUACUCCAAAAUAUUUUUAACCUCAAAUUUCCUGUACUAUCUCUUAAGAUUACAAGUGUUCUUAAAAUUCUACCAGUGUAUUAACCUGUUCGCAGUACUUUUGUAAAUACAUAAUAAACAUUUUCCAUUCUUUUUUUAAAAAAAUGUCAUCUUGAUUUCUGAGCUUUCCAGUUAGUUUCGCCCUUUCAGCAUAGUCCAUUAACUUGGUUUGCCAGUCUUCUUUGGUCGGGACUAAUAGUAUUUAGUCUUUGGGCUAAUAGUACAUGAGCCAUUCCCUUCUCAGACAGGUGCUCUUAUUUAUUAAGAAACAUUCUCCACGGCUUUAUAAUUAAAAAGAUAUAUUCUAACCUCCAGGCUUGCCUACCAUAAUGUGCUUCAUGUAGGACUACCCUUGAACAGAACUCAGAGCAAAACGCAGCUGCCCACAUUUUUGGCAGAUGUAUACAGGAUGCGCUGCUGUCCCUUUUGCACUGGCUGCCUCUAUGUUUCCAAGCCUAAUUCUAGGUCUUGUUUUGACAUCUAAAGACAUGAUGCUCCACUAGGGCUGCCGUACGUCCGGAUUUUCCUGGGCAUUAAUGGGAUUUCAAAGGCAGAAUUGAAGCCCCGGGGAAAUUUCCGAAAGGCAGCGUUUUGUCCUGGAUCUUUGGGGUUUGUCUAAAAAAAAGCUCAACAAUUAAAAAGCUCAAUAACUUUCUGGGUGUCCUGGUUUUUACUUUUUGAAAUAUGGCAACCCUAGACCCCACAAACCUAAGAAACUGCCUCUCUCCCUAUCAGGUAUAUGCCCAUGGGUGUCAUGCAUCAAAAAAACACACAAUUCUUGGGUACAAUUCCAGACAUCUUUGCUCUUAGGCAGGCAUUCUCCCCAUAUUUGUUCAUACUUGCCCUGUGUUAGGAUUUUGUACUACUCCAAUUGGCACCACUGGAGGGCACUAAAAUGUAACAAAAAAUUUAACAAAUAAAAAGUUGCAACCAGCAGCCCCAAAGCCCAUCCUUUAUGGACGGACUCUUUACCUGCCUUAGGGCAGAUAUUCUCAGGCCGUAGUCCAGGGGUCAGCAACCUUUUUCAGCUGUGGGCCGGUCCACCGUCCCUCAGACUAUGUCGUGGGCUGGACUAUAUUUUGAAAAAAAAUAAAAAAUGAACGAAUUCCUAUGCCCCACAAAUAACCCAGAGAUGCAUUUUAAAUAAAAGGACACAUUCUACUCAUGUAAAAACAUGCUUUGCAGGACACCUUUGGGAGAAGAAAAGGCUCACAAAUCUGGAGUGGAGUCCCUAAGACGUUUGGAUGGGUUCUGGUACACCUCCGUCCGGCAACUCCUGCAGCCAUGAAGAUGC